rnacentral:rRNA from 1 species
GACGAACCGUGCGAACGUUAUUCGGAAUCACUGGGCUUAAAGGGAGCGUAGGCGGGCUAUCAAGUCUGGGGUGAAAUCCCUCGGCUUAACCGGGGAACUGCGUCCGAUACUGGUUGGCUUGAGUUUGGGAGAGGGAUGCGGAAUUCCAGGUGUAGCGGUGAAAUGCGUAGAUAUCUGGAGGAACACCGGUGGCGAAGGCGGCAUCCUGGACCAAUACUGACGCUGAGGAGCGAAAGCCAGGGGAGCAAACGGG